rnacentral:rRNA from 1 species
CACAGAGCAAUCUGUGUGACUGCGUACCUUUUGUAUAAUGGGUCAGCGACUUAUAUUCUGUAGCAAGGUUAACCGAAUAGGGGAGCCGAAGGGAAACCGAGUCUUAACUGGGCGUUAAGUUGCAGGGUAUAGACCCGAAACCCGGUGAUCUAGCCAUGGGCAGGUUGAAGGUUGGGUAACACUAACUGGAGGACCGAACCGACUAAUGUUGAAAAAUUAGCGGAUGACUUGUGGCUGGGGGUGAAAGGCCAAUCAAACCGGGAGAUAGCUGGUUCUCCCCGAAAGCUAUUUAGGUAGCGCCUCGUGAAUUCAUCUCCGGGGGUAGAGCACUGUUUCGGCAAGGGGGUCAUCCCGACUUACCAACCCGAUGCAAACUGCGAAUACCGGAGAAUGUUAUCACGGGAGACACACGGCGGGUGCUAACGUCCGUCGUGAAGAGGGAAACAACCCAGACCGCCAGCUAAGGUCCCAAAGUCAUGGUUAAGUGGGAAACGAUGUGGGAAGGCCCAGACAGCCAGGAUGUUGGCUUAGAAGCAGCCAUCAUUUAAAGAAAGCGUAAUAGCUCACUGGUCGAGUCGGCCUGCGCGGAAGAUGUAACGGGGCUAAACCAUGCACCGAAGCUGCGGCAGCGACACUGUGUGUUGUUGGGUAGGGGAGCGU